rnacentral:rRNA from 1 species
CGUGUAGGCGGUCUUAUAAGUCUGAUGUGAAAGCCCUGGGCUCAACCCAGGAAGUGCAUUGGAUACUGUAAGACUUGAAUACGGGAGAGGGCAGUGGAAUUCCUAGUGUAGGAGUGAAAUCCGUAGAUAUUAGGAGGAACACCGGUGGCGAAGGCGGCUGCCUGGACCGAUAUUGACGCUGAGACGCGAAAGCGUGGGUAGCAAACA